ensembl:lincRNA
CCAAGUCAGAAUGACUUCCUGAAAUUUUGGUGUGGGAGAGGGGGUUGUAUUGUGACAUACUGGAAUAGAAAAUUGGCCUUUGUUCCUAGCUUUGAUUUCAGAAGUGAAGGUCUGUAGGUUUCCUUCAACCCUCAGUGACCAGGGGGCUCCAAGACAGACUUCUGAGAGCCUGCAGGUUCCACUCAAGCUGUUCCCGGGGCUGUGUGCCGGAGCCCCCAUGACCUGCCCUUUUCCCUCCCAGUUGCCCUCUAUACCUCCAUCUUUGGCGCACUCCAGCUGCUCUGCCUGCUGACAGCUCCUGUCAUCGGCUACAUCAUGGACUGGAGGCUAAAAGAGUGUGAAGAUACUUCUGAGGAGCCCGAGGAGAAAGAUGCCACUCAAGGUGAAAAGAAGCAGAAGCGAGACAGGCAGAUCCAGAAAGUUACUAAUGCCAUGUGGGCCUUUGCCUUUACAAACGUGCUGCUCGUGGGCUUUGGGGUGACCUGCCUCAUUCCUAAUCUGCCUCUGCAGGUAGGUCUGGGGAGAGACCAUGUAGGGGAUGGGACACAGAUGAGGGAUGUUUAGAGGCUAAAACUUGCAUGUGAUAUCAUUCAUUUAGUUUGGCCAGCUGCCAGUAUUUACUGAAGGUCUGCUUAGCCUCCUCUCCUUCCCAGCUAUGGGCUGAAGUGGAGGGUAAGCUGUGAAGACCAGUUUUCUUUUGUAGGACUCUUCUCCAAGAAGGCACAUUGACCUCUGUCCUUAGGCACCUUGCACGCCACGGGCACCACUGUUGUUUGUUUCCUGGAACAGUAUGGUUUUGCAUUUUCUCAGACACUUGAAAUCUGAGUGUGAUGGCACACACUUGUAAUCCCAGCCAUCCUAGCGACAGAGGCAACAGUGUCCACAUGACUGUUAUCCUAGAGAGAAUGCCUGAUCCUGGCUGGGUGUCAGGGUUCAAUGGCUUACUUCCUUUGUACAAGAUUUCUUUUGUCUUUUGAGACAGAGUCUUUCUGUGUAGCCCAGGCUGGACCCAGGCUUGAUCUUCAUGCAUUGGCCCUCUAAGUGCUGGGAUUUCAAUAUCACACCACCAUGUUUUGCCUUGCAUUAGAUUUCUGAGUUUUCUGAAGCCUGUCUUGCUAGUAUUUGCAAGCCAGCUAGACUUUGCACCUGCCUGGACCCACCCAUUAGUCUAUGUAGACGUUUUCCAAGUCCAUUUGGGCCCAAGUCUCAAGUUUAUAAGGUGAAUGGAUGCACCUGGUAGCAUUGCUUCCCCGUGGGUGUAGCCCAAGUGCAGAUAUUUCUCAAGCCAGCUCUGGGAGGAAAUGAAGAGGCUCAUUGUUUACUAGGUGCCAGGUGUUGAGCUACGUUGAACACACGGGUGUACACACCCACAGGUACUGUCACACAUACAUGCUGGCAUUGGGUGUGUAGACUGGAGUAUGCCAUGGGAGACUUGCACCAGUUCCAGGGAGGAGAACUGACAGACUCCUGUCAUGGCCAUCUUGUCCAGUCAAGGGAUAUGCUAAGUUGUAGACAAGUCAUCCACUUUUUAUUUAACUCAGUUCUUUCUCAUUGAAGGCCGGUUGUGAAAAGGCAGCAAGGCCUGUGAAGGAAGACACAGGGCUGUGUAAUCUACAUCUCCAUAACCUUUUAAGCCUGCCAAGAGUAGCCCAGGCCCCUCCACCACACACACAGUCCUGGAAGCAGGUCCUAGCUGCUAAUGCAAGAUGGCAGGGAUGUAUAUGGAAGAAAGAGGGACAAACGCAGGGCUCUAUACAUGGACUAACAAGACCUUCUCAGAGAUUUGCUAACAGGAAGAGGCCUUUCAAAGCCUGUGAUAGAGAUUCAUGAGGCAUAUGGAGACAGCCAGUAUGCCAGUAUGGCCUGGAUGGCCAGACAAGGAGACCUCUGAGCAAAUCCUCACAUAAAUAUAGAUUCUUAGGGUUAGGUAAGGAGAUCUUAGCCUUCAAGCAUUUGCUUGCAAUGUCCAUGAUGUGAAUACUAUGUCAUGGCUGAGAGUGUGUGGAAGAUGCCUUCAGAACCAACAGUCAUAAUUCUGGUGAAAGAAUUAGGAAUUAAGCCGGGUGUUGGUGGCGCACAUCUUUAAUCCCAGCACUCCGGAGGCAGAAG